AAACACACUGAAAUUAAACAUUUACAAAUGUUAACACCAAAUAUUGGUUUGUGUUACAGUGGGUUAUCGGCAGUAAAUGCAGCUGUGCUGGUGUCGCGUGUUCCGUGGCUGCUUCACGUCCCUGGACCCUGGCCAGGAUGCGGAGGAAGAGCACCUAUUUUGUCGAGAGGAGGAAGUAUGCGCUGUGUGAUGGAACAUGCCCUCUCCUAACCAAAAGAACAUGCCUUGGUUUGGAGCCUGUGAGGGGGGCAGGCAGUCAUGCCGUCUUCUCGUCGGCUAACUGGAUUGGUGUGUCUAUAUAUCUUUUUUUUAUAUUAAUGUGCUUUUCACAGCUUCCCUAACCAUUUGUGUGG
rnacentral:lncRNA from 1 species